AUGAAGGUGCUGCACUCUAUUAAAAAGUGUGUAUUUAGAAUUGCCCUUGUUCACCCAAUGGUUUACUUCAAUGUAAUUGAUAUUGAGAGUGAGGCUGAGCUU